UGGGGGAUAUUGCACAAUGGGGGAAACCCUGAUGCAGCAACGCCGCGUGAGGGAAGAAGGUUUUCGGAUUGUAAACCUCUGUCCUUGGUGAAGAUAAUGACGGUAGCCAAGGAGGAAGCUCCGGCUAACUACGUGCCAGCAGCCGCGGUAAUACGUAGGGAGCGAGCGUUGUCCGGAUUUACUGGGUGUAAAGGGUGCGUAGGCGGGAGAUCAAGUCAGUAGUGAAAUCCAUGGGCUUAACUCAUGGCGUGCUAUUGAAACUGAUUUUCUUGAGUGAGUCAGAGGCAGGCGGAAUUCCCGGUGUAGCGGUGAAAUGCAUAGAGAUCGGGAGGAACACCAGUGGCGAAGGCGGCCUGCUGGGGCUUAACUGACGCUGAGGCACGAAAGCGUGGGGAGCAAACAGG
rnacentral:rRNA from 1 species